CUAUGCCAUGUCGUUGGUUCGCCAACUUCAUUCAUUCGUGCUGCGCGUCUCGUCUGUGCCGGUCGUCUAAAGCUGCCAGCUCAUACUUAACUGCGUUUCAAAUGUCAUAGAAUGCCAUAGACAUACACACACACACACAUAUACAGUUAGUUAGACAGUGUUAAGCAACAAAGACAAAGCAGUGCUCCAAAGUGCCUAAGUGAACAUUUGUAGCAAUAAAGUAAAAAAAAAACACAAAGAUGCCAAAAUAAAGCUAACGCGUUGCUUGUGCAAAAAAAAUAAAAAUAAAAUAAACUUGACUAUCGCCAGACGCACACACACACACACACGCACACUCAAAUAUGAAGAGAGACAACAAACAGCAGCAGGCCGGCCAGACAACUCACACACACAACAACACACACACAGACACGCGGCUUCAGCUAGCAGUUAGCAGCUACAGUUAUCAAAUGCGGCCGCCGCCGGCCUGUUAACUUGCCCAGACAACGAGAGGGAGAGGGAGAAAGACAGAGAGGGCGAGAGUGAGAGCGACGAAGAGAAAGAGUGGGCAAGAGCCAGCGAGCGAGCGAGAGCGGGCACAGUAUAAAUUUCAUAUGUGCAAUGUUUGUGCCUGGCUGCUGUGCGUCGUAUCAGCUAACCGGAUGUUGAUUUGUUGGCCGCAGCAAACACACAACAUGGCCCAAGCCAGCAGCAGCCAUCUUAACACACGUACACACACCCUCUUGCAACACUGGCUCAUCCUUUAAACCCGAUGAAAAAGAAUGCAAAAUGAUGCCAGAUAAAAGACUUGCAACACGCAUGAAUGGGGCCAGAAAACAAAGCCCGCAAACUUCCGAUGUACCCUCUCUAUACUCCAUUUAUAAACAGUUAAAAGCAAUAAGAAAAGCCCAUAACAAAACGUACAAACGGAGCUGACAACACACGCUUCAAAUAGAGACUACAAUGGAAGUCGAUGUUUAUCUACGCUAGAGUCUGAACUUAUGAUCCUUUUGAGCUGACGACGCAGUUUGUCGCCGAUAUGCGAGGCCUUGUGAAUGAGAGGGCACAAUUUAUGCCAAGUGCUUGGGGCGGGAUGCGCACACUCUGGAGCACACACUUCCGGCACGGCCACAUCAGGCCAGGCUUGACUUGA